GUAGCGAGCUGAUGACUCUUUUUGUUCAGCUUCACACAACCCAGAGUCACCUGGGAGUAGGGAACUUCAAUUGAAGAACUGCUCUGUGGGGCAUUUUCUUGAUCAGUGGUUGAGGGAACGGCAUGCCUUUGGUGGUAGCCGGUAGCGGCACCCCUAGCCAGGUGAUCUAGGGGUUAUGAGAGAGCAGGCUGGCAAGCCGUGUGAGAAAAAGCAGUUCAUUUGCUUACAUGUUUAUAAACAAGAAGACAACCAACUAACACACCAGCUGAUUAUACCAAGGGAUGCUUUGAAGAGUCGUUUAAUUGGUGUAUACAUUCUUAAGAACAAGAUGUAAAAUUCUCAGCUCUUCCAGUACCAGCCUGGAAUGGUGACAUUCUUCCUGCCAUGACAAUAAUGGUCUGAACUUCUGACUCGAGAUAAAAGGCAGAAUCACAGGUCUUCCUGGUUGCUGCCGCUGCAGAGAGCCCCUGGGCAGCACCCCACGAGCGAACCUGAGCCUCGGGACCACAGGGAUUCCCAGAGAAGAUAAGAAGAAACCAACAAUGGAUAAGAGUAAGAUCAGAGGACUCAGGAGGAAAGAAUAAAGAAAAGUUCAAUCCUUCAGA
rnacentral:sRNA from 1 species